UAUGAUCACAGCAACUUGAAACGCUGGUUCCCAUACGAUCACUGAAGUUAAGCAACGUUGAUCCGUGUCAGUAAGUAGAUUGGUGAGCGUUUGAGAAUGCCAUGUGUUACA